CUAAAAAUAGCUCAAAAUAAACAUAUCUAAACAAUCUAAUAAAUUCAAACAAAACAUUUAUACCAAUUAAAGUAUAGGCGAUAGAAAUUAUAUAAGACGCUAUAGAGAAAGUACCGCAAGGGAAAAAAUGAAAGAAAGUUAUAAGUAAAAAACAGCAAAGACUAGCCCUUGUACCUUUUGCAUAAUGAUUCAACUAGAAAUCACUAGCAAAAUGAAUUAAAGUUAGCUAACCCGAAACCAGACGAGCUACCUAAUAACAGCUUUCAAGAGCAAACUCUUCUAUGUGGCAAAAUAGUGAGACGAUUGUUAGGUAGUGGCGACAAACCUACCGAGCCUGGUGAUAGCUGGUUGUCCGGAACAGAAUUUCAGUUCUAACUUAAAUUUACCAAAAACCAAACAAAUUAAAAUGUAAAUUUAAGAGAUAAUCUAAAAGGGUACAGCCUUUUAGACAGGGGAUACAACCCUAAUUAGAGAGUAAAACAAAAACCUUCACAAUAGUGGGCCUAAAAGCAGCCACCAAAUUAGACAGCGUUCAAGCUCAACAACAUCUAAGAAACUAAUUCUAACUAUAACAAAUUUAUACUCCUAAUAUAAAACCGGACUACUCUAUUCCUAAAUAGAAGCAACAAUGUUGAUAUGAGUAACAAGAAAUAAUUCUCCCAGCACAUGUGUAUAUCAGAACGAAUAUACCACUGAUAGUUAUCAAAAUAAAUAUUAACCUACCAAUUAAAGCAUUACUAAUAAUUGUUAGCCCAACACAGGAGUGCAAACAAGGAAAGAUUAAAAGGAGCAAAAGGAACUUGGCAAAUACAAACCCCGCCUGUUUACCAAAAACAUCACCUCUAGCAUAAAAAGUAUUAGAGGCACUGCCUGCCCAGUGACUUCAGUUUAACGGCCGCGGUAUCCUAACCGUGCAAAGGUAGCAUAAUCACUUGUUCCCUAAAUAGGGACUUGUAUGAAUGGACUAACGAGGGUCUUACUGUCUCUUGCUCUUGAUCAGUGAAAUUGACAUUCCCGUGAAGAGGCGGGAAUUACAUAAUUAGACGAGAAGACCCUGUGGAGCUUUAAUUAAUUAACCUACUGCAUAUAUACAACAUCCUCCAACAAGGAAUAAAAUCCCCUAAUUAGGUUAACAAUUUAGGUUGGGGUGACCUCGGAAUAAAAUCCAACUCCCGAGCAUAAAUACCAAGACUUACAAGUCAAAAUUAACUCAACACACAUUGAUCCGCUACUAGUGAUCAACGAAAUAAGUUACCCCAGGGAUAACAGCGCAAUCCUAUUUAAGAGUUCAUAUCGACAAUUAGGGUUUACGACCUCGAUGUUGGAUCAGGACAUCCCAAUGGUGCAGCAGCUAUUAAUGUGUUCGUUUGUUCAACGAUUAAAGUCCUACGUGAUCUGAGUUCAGACCGGAGUAAUCCAGGUCGGUUUCUAUCUAUUGACAAGUCCCUCCCAGUACGAAAGGACAAGAGAGACGGGGCCCACUUAAAACGAGCGCCUUAAUAAUAACAGAUGAAAAAAUCUUAACCUAAUAUAUAUAUACCCGCCCAAGAAAUCAGGGUUU
rnacentral:rRNA from 1 species